AUGCAUCACAAUUGUUACAAUCUUUCAAUGUGAUUUUCACCAAGUUCAUCAUCAUUGUAAUCCAUGAUGCAAAUUUCCGUCCCUUAAAGGAGACAACUGACAGUUCUUUCAAAUAUGUGUGAGGUCUUAAUCCUUCAAUCACAUCCUCGUUGUUGUAUUCUUUACCUUUCCUUUCAUCUUCGUUGUUGCUCCAGUCUAAGGGUAAACACUGAAUGUUAGAUUUUUCACAAAGCUUUGCUUUACUUGUUUCUUCCAUAUUUGACACAUCACUAAGACCAUAGAGAUCAAGUGUACCACCAAGAUUUUUAAGCCCUUCCGAUUGGCUAAGGAGACAAUUUCGUUUUCUACUGACAACAAAAUGAGGAAGUGUUUGAAGACAAGUCAAUCUUUGUAUCCCAAUAAACAUGUAUCUUGUGGAUAACUCUUCUGCAUAUUUCUUCUGAACAACAAGAUGCCUCAAGUUAAUAAGGUUGCAGACCUUCUCUGGAAGCUCAUUUAGAGCCCAAAUUCUCAAAGUUUGCAAGUUAUAGAGUUUCGUGAUGUAAUUUGGCAAUUUAUAGCUCUUGAAUCCGACAGAACUUGAGAUAUCAAGAUGUUUAAGGAAUUUCAUAUUCCCCAUUGAACUUGGCAACUCUUUAUAAUGUGAGUUCAAAACCAACACUCUCAGUUGCUUUAGGCUGGGUAACACGACACCGAGUACACAAGCCUGUGCAUACAGUGCUUGUAUAGAAUUGAAGUACACCGUAGAAAUCUUGUCAAAGGAUUUAUGAAUAGUCUUGAUCUUAUUAGCCACCUUAAAACGAUUUAAUAUGUUGUUUUUAGAAGGAACAAAGAAGUCCCUUACCCUGUGAUGAUUUUCCACCUUUUGUCGAAUAAUUUCAUAAGCAAGUUGAUCCAUAAAAACAUCAGCCACAUGUGCCACAGCUUUGAGUUUGCUGAACCAGGUUUGGACAGAAGACAUAUCUAGUUUCUUGGUAUAAGUAUCGGACAGGAGAGCAUCGAUAGAUUCCAGCCUUUCGCGCAGUGUCAACAGAUCUUCAGAAAGAUUCCAGGCCUGAAUAACUUUUUCAGUAGCAAGUGAAAUAAGCUUGCGAACCAGUCCGCUGGCUAGAUCAGCUACAAAUGCAUCAGCCAUCCUUCUAUCAAUUUCAGUUACCUGAUUAUAUCAUGAAUAUUUACAUGUAAAAAGAUUAGUAUUUGGGUAGUAAUGGUGUCUUCUUCAACUUUGGGCUAUCAAAAGUCAGAUGUAAUAUUAUUAUUGAAUUCUUUAUGCCCUCUUUGUCACAACUUUGAGCUACCAAGUGGUGAGUUGAAUAGAAAUUUAUCAAGUGGGGAAAGCUGAGGGCAAAGAAAGCCAAUCCAGCUAAAAGUCAAUAGCCUCCUAGAAGAUGGCAUCUUUACUCUUUACAUGCCAGGUGAGAAUCUUGAUCGACUAAAUCUAUAUUUAUAUUCAUUUAUUUUAUCGAAUUUAGAUUAGAUUAAUACUGGAUUUUUUACGGGCCGAUCCGAAUCCGUUGGAGACGGAGAUCUCGAACUCCACUCUGUAUGAUUUAUUUUAUUUUAAAGAAAAUUGAGUAGUUAUAAAAUUAUAAAAGACCAUUUAUCGUUUACAAUUGAACAAAACUUAAACCAAAAAUAUUUAAAAAGAAAAAUAAUAAAUGUAAAUUGAUGGUCAAUAUAGAUUCGAGAAUAUAAAUGAAAAAAAGCAUGAAAAUUGAGAAUGUAAAAUCUCUGAUGAGACUAUUUUGGAGCAAGUCUAUUGUCCUAAUAUAAAAAAAUGCUUGAUACCCAGACGACAGAAAACUUAGUUUCUCUUAUUUUUAUCUGUCGAAAAAGUACUUACUACAUUAUUACAUCUUUGAAGAAAGCAUUUGUAUCAGAAGUAUCCUUGACAUUUUCCAACUCUAUUGUAGCAUCAUCUUGUUCUUUGUUGUAAACAAAAAGGUUUGCAGCCAGAAGAAAAAACAAGAGGUUAAUAAAGCUCAAAACAGCAUAAAAUGUGUAGAAAUAGUCCAAGCGAGACACAUUCAAGUUGUCCAAAAAAUCCAGCCCUUGUGACCAUCCCUCUUAGUGAAAUCAGACACAGUUGUUAGAAUAAAACUGCUUAGAAAAUUCCCCAUACUCAAGCUAGUUGUAUAAUAGGCUGUGCCGAAGCUUUUCAUACUUUUCGGAGCUUGAUCAUAGAAGAAUUCAAGUCUCCCCACCUCCCAAAAUGUAUCAGCCACCCCCAUCAGGGCAUAUUGAGGAAGUAAUAUGAAUAUGCUGAGCGGAACAAUUUGAUUUUUCUUUGUAAUGCCAUGAUCUUCAAUCACAUUUAAUCGCUUCCGUUCACAAACUGAAGCAAUGAUCAUGAUGAUGACAUGCAUUACUAGGCCUAUUCCCAUUCUUUGCAGCAUUGGGAUCCCUCUUGGAUUUUUGGUGUAGCUUCGAAGCGUGGGAACCAGGAAUUUAUCAUAGAUCACAACAGUGAUCAGCAUAAAGAUUGUUAUGAAUGCUACAAGAGAUGCCGGGGGAAUACUGAAAUGAGGACCUAUGCUUCUAACAAGAGUGGUACCUUGCUUGAUGAAGAGUGUGUGUCCUUGAGCUAUCAGGGUGCUAGGUAAGAAUGAUACUAAUAAGAUUGGCACCAUUUUUACCAUUUGUUUUGUUUCUUCAACUUCAGUCACUGUGCACAGCAUCCAGUGAGGGCUCCGUCCAUCCACAACAGCUGCUUUAUCUAGUAUUCUGUGUAAAAGCAAAUGAUAGCUAAAACUUAAAAGUCGUACUUAGUGCACAAGACUCCGGUGUCAAAAGUAAAAAAGGAAACAGAGGACUAUAAACCUCUUCUUUGAUGAAUAAGAAAUACGACCUUAGUAAAGGAGAGUGUUCAAUUCUAUACUUUCCAGGUUUGGAAUAUUCAUCCAAAUUCAACUCAUGUAGUUCUUUUGGAUCAUCCGGGACAACCAACUUCCAUUUUCUAAUAGUGGCUAUAAGAACUCUAGCCAUCUUGGUCAAUGGGCUUCCAGAUGCAGGUUGGUGCCUAUAAUAAGGUGAGCCUGCUAGAAACACCAAUAUUGAUAAAAAGAGUCCGAUUGUUGGAAGACCAUAUCCAAGUCCCCAGCCUGCAUGAUCUUGUAUAUAGACUAGGAAAGUGCUGGCAAAAAGUGUGCCGAAGAAGAUACUAAAGACCCACCAAUUAAAGAAUGAUAUCUUCUGGGUUUUUUCGGUUGGCUCAAAUUCAUCAAAUUGAUCUGCACCCAUCGUUGAGAUGUUGGGCUUUGUCCCUCCAGUUCCGAGUGCAAUUAUGUACAAUGCACAGUAGAAAAUACCCACUUGAAAAGGUGAAGCUUGCUUGUUACAGUCCACGUCUGUUAUACUGUCACCGCAUGAUGGUGGCCGGAGAGAUUUUAAUGAAACUACUAGUGUCAGCAAGGACAUGCCCUGUUACACAACAAAUAUUUGAGCCCAGGCAAAGCAAUCAAAACGUAUACGUGAAACUUGCAAGCAAUUUUAUGUUUUCAUACCCCAAGAUAGAUGAAGGCUGAAAUGAUGAAAGUCCAGUAACGGCCAAGAUGAGCAUCCGCGAUGUAGGCACCUAGAAUGGGUGUCAGCCAGACAGUGCCAACCCAGUUGGUGACAUUGUUUGAAGACUUCACGGUGCCUUCAUGUAAUUUUCUUGUGAGAUAUAGCACUAGAUUUGUUGAUAUUCCAUAAAAUGCCAUCCUCUCAAAUGCUUCAUACCCUUCAAAAUCAUUCAUUAUACGAAAUAAAUUAGAAUAUCAAGCUGAAACUAUGUUCUUCACCUUAAUACAAAAUAGUACAUGAGUUGAAUGUGGUAAAUGUUCUAUUGGAUGAUAUCAGAAUUAUCAAAAGAAGCAAUAGAAUCUUGUUGACAUACCGACAAUGAAGGAGGUUGCUCUCCAUCUCCCUGUGUUUGAUCUUAACACAGGAUUACCCUUGAGGUCAACUGUUCCAUCUUUGGUGUACUCAUCAUCCCCUCUCGUCUUGCCAUUCUCUUCGACUACUCUUUCCAUUGUCAUUGUCAUCUCCCUGUGUUUGAUCUGAACACAGUUGAACGUGCAGCUCGAGUUUAUACUAGACAACCUCUGUCUACCUGCAUAUACAGUUAGCUACAAAUGAAAUGGUGGAUAAUAAUUGAAUCAUUAACAGUCUAACACUGAAGUCAGUUUUUAUAUCUGAAAUUCAACCCUUUUCUUAUCUAAAAUAUUCAUGCUGGUAAAAGAACAAAUACAAGUGUCCAGUAUCUGGGAGAGCUUUCAGUGCUUCCAAAUCAAUUCAUGCCCGAUCUGCAUGCGAGGAAUAUGUUGUAUCUUAAACCAUUCUGGCCCACUCUCCCUCCUGCAUCUUUCUUCUAGAAUAGUACAUUGAAAUAUUUUCAGGUACUGAAGGCUAUGUGACUCGUGAAACGUAGGCAAACUCUUCAAAUUAUUACAAUUCCAAAUACGUAACCGCUCAAGAGAUGGAAGCUUUGCCAGUGAUUCUGGAAGAGAUUUCACUCCUUCGAAAUCAUUUAUGUACAACAGAGUCAAUGCAGGGAACGUAGAGUAGAGACGAUCAUCAAGCUCCCCAUCCAGAAGUAUUGACCUAACCUUCUUCCGACCGAACAGGGUCAGUGAGGUCAGUUUAGGAAACCAAAUUACAGAAGAGAAGGAGGGCCAUGGAAAUUCGUUUAGUUCAUCCGAGAAGGGACCUAAUAUCAUCUUUUCAAGUCUUGACCUUGUACCAGGGACAAAUACUAAUUCUGAAAGAGAGGGGCAUCUCACAAUAAUAAGAUACUAGUAUGUUUGCCUGCUCCGGGCAUUCUAAAUUAAUAUUUUUUUAAAAAAUAUGUUUGCUUAAAUUUGUAUUUGAUUAGAAUUGAGAUUUUUUGUUUGUGGAUGAAAAUUAUUUUAUAUUUGUUUUUUCUAUUUCUUGUUUAAAUCUAAAUUAAAUUCUAAGCUGAAAAAUAUCUGAUAAUAGAGAUAAUCUCGUUCUUUCAAUUUUUGGUACGAUAUGUUUGUCCCAAAUAUAUAUAACUAUAAAUUUAAUUUAUUGAACUUAAAUAUUACAGAAAAUAGUAUAGACAUUUGUAUUGUAUUUUAAAAUUAGUAAUGCAAGACCCAAAUAUUAGUUGUUUUUCAUUAUAAAAUAAAAAAUGAGUUGUUUUAAAAAUUUGAAACUAGCCAUCAAUAUCUAUGCCAAAAAUCACAAUGAAUUCUCUCCGAAAAAUCAUAGCCUACACAAUGAAUUCGAAGUCUCAGACAUGUUAAGGCGUUAUGGUUGGAUUGUGCCAGCUUACACCAUGCCUCCUGAUGCCCAACAUGUUACUGUGCUUCGUGUAGUUAUCCGCGAGGACUUUUCAAAAACUCUGACUGAACGCCUGGUUACAAAUAUCAAGCAGGUCCUCGAGGAGCUUGACACACUCCCAAGUAAGGUGACACAGAAGUUGACAACUGAGGUGGACAACGGCAAGGCUGUGAAGAAAAGCUGAAGUCCCAUUCCAGUUCCAGGUAAAGAAAUGGGGCAAUGAACCCACCGCUAGCAGCGUGCACAUGAAUUGGUGUAUCCCAUCUAUCAAAAGAAAUGAAAUAGAUAAAAGAUGGUCCUAUAAUCCAGCAACUCAUCAAAUGAUAUGUAUUAAUGAGCAAGACAGUGGAUUACCCAGUUUCUGCAUUUUUCUUAACCAAGAGGUCAUUUAAGAGCUAACAUCUUCAAAUUCUCCAUUAAGAGUGGAUCCUAGAAUAGCUGCAACACAAAUGGUGUUCUCAUCCACCAUUUCUGCAGCCUUUUCAGGGUCCAUCACAUAGUAGCUGUCUCUCAACUUGACCUCCUUCAGCUCCACUUCAAAUUACCUUGCAAAAAUGGUGGAUUAAUUUCUUGUUUAAUACAUGGAUCUAGUCAAUCUGGAUUAUUGACAUACAUUGAACCCGGUCCAUUUGAAUGAUUAUAAACCAAAAAAAAAGUAAAUCAACUUGAUGAAGUCUAAAUGAGGCAAACCUAAAUGUACUCCAAUGAAACCAGAUCAUGCAUUGAGUGAAAAUUGAUGGAACACGUGAAAUUAAUUCAUGUUAAUCAGAAGAAGUAAAACAUAAUCUAGGACUUUAUAUAAAAAGCUAUAGAAAUUAAGAUCAAUAGGCUUGUUCUGUAAGAUCUCAUAAGAUCCUCUACAUUUUCCCCAUUUCAAAAGAUUAUAAUUCAUUUGAUUGCUUAUUAUUUCCGACACUAAAACACCAAAGCUACUUUCACCAGGCUAGAUAGAAAAUUUGAAACUUUGCAUACCGAUAGAGUCAUUUACGUAAAUUCAACAUGUUUAAUGUGUUGAAGAAUUCCAAGCCUGAAAGAACACAACACGAUCAAAUGUGAUUAUUCUUUAAGCAUUAAUAUCUAAGUAGACCUUAAAAUCCCAAACUUUGCCGUAUCAAUAUCCUAUAUCAGGGGCAGAGCCACUUGGAUCCCUGGUACUCCAUGGCUACCCUGUAUCAAGGGCGGAGCUACAUGGAGCCGUAUAUAGAGUUUCUAUGUUAUUUGUUUUGGUAAAAUUAGUUAGUUGAUCUUUGAGAAGCAAAAAAGAUGAGAGUUGCAACUGUAUCAAAAAAGCAGAUGAAAGAUUGAUUAUUAAUAUAGGAAUAUAUAUUUUGUUCAGUACAGAUCUCAUGAUUGUACGACUGAAAGGAAAAGACACGGGCAACUUAAUUCAUGAAUUAAAGGUAUAUGCAUUCAUUAUGUUAAAAAUACUUCCUUUGAUUGUCUGUGCCAUUUUUUACUAUCAAAUAGAGCAGUUUUCAUGUUAUAACAGUUUCAACAGAAGUUUUUACCUGCACAAUAGCUGGUGAAGACACGUUACCUUCCUUUAUCGCCGCUAAUUUUAGCAACUCUCCGCACAUAUUAUGAGGACCAUCAGAUCUGUCUAUGCAACUGUAAAAAUGUAUUAUAGAAUAAUCAGAAUAUGUGUGAUCCGUAGGGCCAGUGGUUCCAUUAAAAAUCUAUAGUCAUAGUAGAUGCUACCUGCAGCCUGCAAAUUUGAGGGCCAGUGGCCCCUUCUCACUCUGACAUGUACCACAUCCUUCAGUUUCUCUUCAUCCUUAUCACUGCUUUUCGAACUUUUACCCCUUCCACAGCUCUGUUUACAGUAAAUCAAAGAUAAGACCAAAAAUUCAAUUCAUUCAUAAACAGAGCAAUUAAGCUAGUAACAAUUUUUCAUAACUAAUGCAAGAUUCUACACUUAAUUUACGAUACAUUUUUUCACCUGCUUCCGCUUUCAGAAGCCUGAGGAGUUGAGUUAUCAGAACAGCUUUCAGAUUCUUGCAUGACAUUUUUAUGAUCUUCCGAAAAAUGUGGAAAAUUAUCUGCCAAGUUACCAGGGAAUUCAAGCACUUAUGUAAUGAAAUUGUCGAAAGGAAAGCCUGCCCAGCUAGUAAAAUUAGAGUUUGAGGUGUGCAUGACACUUGGAUUUAAUUGCAUGAGCUGAUUCAUGAUGAGGUCAACAUUUGGAUCAAACUCAAGCAAAGAAAAGUGGUGAGUUAAAGGUCUGCAUAUCUGAUGUGUAUUGAUACUUAAAUUCACGUAAUGCAUGACAUGUUUAACAAUUAUUAAAUUUUUAGUCACAAACGCUGGUGACGUUCUUUGAUUUUCAUCAACACUUUAAUCGACCAAUAAUAUUAAUAUUAAAGGGCUGUUUGGGCAAACUUAAAAAAAAUAAAAUUUGCUUAAGAUAAAGAAGCGGAUUAGAAUUGAAAAGUAAAUAAGUUAAUAAAGUGUUUGGAAAAGAAGCAGAAGCUGAUAAGCUAACAUCCUCAGCUUUUUAAAGGUGCUUCUACUUAUUUACACAAACGGGUCAAGAAAAACAGAAGCCAUAAGGAGUUUCUGGUUCUUGAUUACAAACAUGCCCUAAGACUGCCACAUAACAUUCAAGCUCAACUUUUGUCCCAGCUUCUGUGAUCAUUUCAUUUUCUACCGGUUUCAACUCCCGUCUGAAUAUACCAUUAAGAAAGAUAUUACGAGACUAUUUGACCGACUUUAAAAUUGUAACUACUGACUUCUGAUUUUAAAUUAAUAGUACUUCUAGAGUACAUAGUGCAUCUUGUUCCUCAUGGAGCAUUUCAGACUCCUUUGAAAUCAUAAAUGCACUAUGUACUCUAGAAGUACUUCAUCACUGAUAUUAGACAGGUGCCUAUUGUUUAUACAUUAGAGAACUAACCUUUCUGCUUAUUGUUUCCAGUACUGUGUUGCUGUCAUAUAACUCCUCAAGAACCGAAAACAUUUUUCCAGAAUCUUUGCAACUUCGGACAUCUGCUGAUUUUUAACAACUCAAGUCUCUGAAAUGCACUUUGAUCUUUACCCUAGGUACUCAUAACUGGUUAUACCCAUACUUAAAGCGUUGGCAAAUCAAAAUACAUUUCGAUGAGCACGACACAAUUGGCUUCAAAAAUCUUCCUCCCUGAUGCAAGAAGUACAUCCAAUAUAUAAUCAAAUAUGGUAGAGACCCUAAAAGAUUUCUAAAGUUAAAAUGGAUCAACUUUUUAUAGUUCUGUAUCAAUUUGGACCCAGAGCCCCAAUUAAAAUUUGCACACUGGUAAUUUUGAACCAUUUUGGGAAAAGAAAACCUUCAGCAUUGCUCUUUAUAUAAGAAGCAAAUCAUCAAUUAUUAUAUUAAUCGAAAAAGAAUACCAGUGUAUACGUGGAAUAUGUUGAAUUCUGAACCAUUCUGGCCGUCCCUUCAUAUAUUUUUCUCUCAGAAGAGGACACCCUUCCGUCUCUAGCAACUGAAGAGGAUGCGAUUUUUCAAACAGGGGCAAAGUCUUCAAAUUCUCACAAUCAAAUAUAAGUAACGUCUCGAGAGAUGGAAGCUUUGCUAUUGAAUCUGAGAGAGCUUUCACUCCUUUGAAAUUAUUUAUUCUCAAUUCAGUUAAUGCAGGGAAGGUGGAGGAGAGGCGAUUAUCAAGUUGCCCGAAUAUUGAUUCAACCUUUUUCCACCCGUCCAAUGAUAGUUUCUUUAGACUAUGAAAUGAAACCACGCAAGAAGAAGAGAAUGGCCAUGGAAAUUCAUCUAAAUCCUCUGAGAAAGGGCCUAAGCUUAGUCUAUCAAGUGUGGAACUCCUAGUUUGCGCAAAUACCCGCUCUAAGAGAGAGGAGGGGCAUUUCCAGAUCUCAAUAUCUUUUAGACCAACUGACCCUUCAACUAGAUUAAUAUUACUUGGCCGAGGACAUUUUAAACCCCCACAGUCGAUUAGCCUCAAAGAGGUCAGACACAGAGAAUUGUUCUUUAACAUCUCCUCAAUCAUAAAGUCCAUAUUUGAACAAGAAGAGGAAGAAGAUGAUGAUGAAUCUCCUCCAUUGCUGAUAUUGAGAAGUUCUAGAUGCUUGAGAGAGGCUAUGUUACUCCGACUCUUCUAUUUAGGUUGCCGUACCCGUGUCGGACACUUGGACACUCGGACACGACACUUAUUUCGUGUCGGAUCCUUUGACUAAAAUGUGGACACUUUGACCAAUUUAAAAAUCAAAUAUGAGUAAAACUUACAAUUGAAAAGAAAUAUGUGAGAAAAAAGAAAGAAGCAAAAAUGAGAUUUAAGUACAAAAGACGCUUAAUUUGCAAAAUCCCUUACAAAUUCAUGUCUAAUAUGAGUUUUAUUGUUACUUUUUGUUAAGAUGUCUAACUUACCAUACUUGUUUAUUAGUAUAUUACGAUGUGUCCCCGUACCCGUGUCCAAAAAUAGGACAGUGUCCCCGUGUCUCCAAUUUCCAUAGUUCUGAAGUCCGACACUCGAAUAUGUGUCGUGUCCGACACUCCGUACCCGAGUCCGAGUAACAUAGGAGAGAGGUAACCUUUUUGCUCAUUGUUUCCACUAUCACGCUGCUGUCCAAAUCAGUGAUUUUGAGCUCCUUCAAGGCCGGAAAACAAAUAUUUGGAAUCUUGCUUAACCUUGGACAAUACAUAAUUUCCAAACUCUCAAGUUUAGGAAAUACACUUUGGUCAUGACUCCCUGUGCUCAUCACUUCUUCUGUCCAUUCUUCUAGCUUUUCCAGCCUAUACAAAGUGAUAGUCAUGAGCGACGGAUACAUAGUUGUCACUGUCUUCGUGGCUGCACUGUCUAGACUUUCCAAUAAAUAAUUCCCCAUAACCUUCAAAUUUUCCAUCCCCUGUAAAUUUAUCUUCUUUAGCUUGGGAAGCUGACCCAGUGAUGGAAAUUCUGUGCAUCUGUUGCAACCAACCAACAAGAUUUUCACCAAGUUGUUCAUCAUUGUGAUCCAAGAUGAAAACUUCUUUCCCAUAUAGCAGUAAAUAAUCAAUUCUUUAAGAUUCGGGUGAGGUUCCAAUCCUUUCAUCACACCAUCAUCUUUGUUUUCCCCGUCUUCCCGGAAAGCACCAAUAUUUUUGUUCCAAUUUAAAACUAAAACCUCAAUAUUAGACUUUUCACGAAGCUUUGCCCUGCUUGCUUCUUCCAUAUUUGCCACGUCGCCAAGGCCAUGGAGUUGAAGCUCACCUCUAAGGUUUUUUAGUCCUCCCAAAUGUUCAACAAGACAAUUUUGAUCUUUAUUCACAACAAAAUAAGGCAGUGUUUGCAAAUGACUUAGUCUCUCUAUCCCGACAAAUACGUAUCUUGACCUGUGAUUGGGAAUUACAAGAUGUCGCAAGUUUAUAAGGUUACAGACCUUUUCUGGAAGUUCAUGGUAGUAUGAAAUUCUCAAAGUCUGCAAGCUGAAAAGUCUCGUGAUGUAAUAUGGCAAUGUAACAGUAGUUUUUUGUCCCCGAGCAUUUGAAAUAUCGAGAUGCUUAAGGCAUUUUAAAUUUGUUACUGAACUAGGAAACUCCUCACAAAAUGAAUUCAAAACCAAAACUCUCAAGUGUUUGAGGUUCGGUAACAGGACAUUAAAAAUAUCGGCCUCUGCACUAUUAAAAAUAUCGGCCUCUGCAUAUAGUGCUUGUACCGCAUCUAAGUGCGCCUCCUGAAAAAUAUUUUGUUUUACAUCUUCAAACCCUUCCAGCCUUACCUGUGUAGCUUUUCUGACCUUGUUGAAAUCCUGACUUGGCUUCACUAUAGCGGAAAUAUUACUUGACACAUCUAGUGCAAGAUCAUGUACAAGAUCAUGCAUCUUGCAUUUGGUAAUGUUUCCAUAUUCAUCUCUUUCCACAUCCUGUAACAAAGAAUUCGACAAGAGAAUGUCAAAGUACUCGUUUCCGAUGACCUCCAUCAAAACAUUACUAUCUUCCAAAAGGAAUCCUAAUGCCAUCCAUACUUGUAUCAGUUCAUCCUUAUAUAUGUCAGAAUCCUUUGGCAUAAUAGAGCAAUAUGCAAAACAUCGCUUCAAAGAUGAAUUAGGUAAAUUAUCAUAUGAUAAUCUCAAGGAAGGGAGUACACUUGUCGAUUUCCAUAGUUCACUAUUUUGAAUGUGCAACCACUGCUGUUCAGUCUUCUUUGAGUACAAUAAACUUCCUAGUGUUUUUACUGCUAGAGGCAGACCGCUACAUCUUUCUACCAUUCUUUUCCCCAAGGCCACAAAUGCCUCGGUCUGCAACGCUCCUCCAUCUGAAAAUGCUCUUUGCUUGAACAAUUCCCAACUAUCUUCCUCGGAUAGUUUUGCCACCUUAUAAGGAUCAGAGCAUCGCAUAGCAUCAAGGACUUCCUGCUUACGAGUGGUAAUUAAAAUAUUGCUACCUCUUGCACCGCCAACUCCAAGCAAAGAAUUUCUCAACUUCUCCCACUCCUCUGGUUUCCCAUCCCAUACAUCAUCUAGUACAAGUAAAAACUUUUCGCCCUUUAGGUUUUUCUGAAGAUCUUUGAUCAACCCUUCCGCAUUUUCCAAUGCAGAAGCCUUUGAAGUGAGAGAUACUACCAUUUGAUUCAGAAUCUUGAUGAAAUCAAAAUUAUCUGAUACAGUGACCCACAUCCUUUUAGGGAACAUAUUAAUUACAACAUCUUUAUUGUAAACCAUUCGAGCAAGAGUUGUCUUGCCUAGACCUCACAUCCCUAGUAUUGCAUUCACCGGUAAACCCUCACCAUUUUUGUUGCACAACAUAUUAACCAAAGAUGAUAUAUCUUUGUCCCUUCCGACAAUUAGGGACUCGUCUUCAAAAGGUGGGGUGUUGCGUAUCUCUCUACGUUGCACAGUAGAUCUUAAGUGCUCUACUGGAUGAAGACCAAUAUCAGUAGCCCAUUUACAAAUCUUGUCAAAGGAAGCAUUAAUAUUCUUGAUCUUAUGAGCCACUUUGGAACGAUAUAAUAAGGUGUUUUUAGAAGGAACAAAGCCUUAUGACGAUUCUCCACUUUUCUUCGGGUAACUUCAUACUCGAGUUCAUCCAUAAAAGAGCAACUUGUUCAAGCUUGUUAAACCACAGUUGGGCAGUAGACAUGUUUAAAUUCUGGGUAUGAGCCUCAUUCAAGAGAGCACCAAUUAGCUCAAACCUUUCACGCAGUGUAUCCAGAUCUUCAUGAAACUUCCAAGCCUGAAUCAACUCAUUGGUUGCCAGUGAAACAAGCUUGCGAACCAGUCCAGCAGCAAGAUCAGCUCCAGUUGCUUCAGCCAUUUUUUCUAGUCAGCUUCUUUAGUGUAUUAUUUCAGGAUUUUGAAAAUGGGGUACAAGUUUUUAAUAAAAAUUCGCAACAAAUGAAAUUUAAUCUAUUGACAAAUCACACUUAUACCUUUUUCCUGUUAGUUUUCACUGACCCAAAUCGAUGUUUAAAAUUGUGCAAUGUGUUGAAAUACAGAUAUAUGAACAAAUUCAAACCAAAAAAUUAAAAAAUUAAAAAUAAAAAUGGAGUAAGAUUGAUGGUCAAUAGAGAUUCGAAAAUAUGGAUGAAAAAGAAGCAUGAAAAUUGAGAAAGUAAAAUAUUGGUGACACUAUUUUGGAACAAGUUUCCGCCUAAUAUAGAAAAUGCUUGAUAACCAAACCACAGACACAGCUUAGUUUUCUAACUCUAUUAUAGCAUCUUUUUCUUCAUUGUUGUAAAGAAAAAAGUUUGCAGUCAGCAGAAAGAACAAGAGAUUAAUGAAAAGCUCAAAACAGCAUAAAAUGCAUAGAAAUAGUCCAACCGAGACCCAUUCAAGUUGUCCAAAAUCCAGCCAUUAUGUGGGACGAUAGGACAACAAAGUGCGUACUCAUUAUUCAUCGGUGCUAGCGAAAAAGGGCCACACUUGUGCAAUAUCUUUAGAUCAUAAAGUAUCCCCGUGCCAAGUCCACAUCUCACCAUCCCUGAUUUAAAAAAAAUUAAGAAAUUUCAGUGAAGCAUUAAAAAUGGAGACAGAAAUAAGUAGUAGUACUGAAACAUAGAGUGAUAAGUUUACCAUAUGACAUGUGCAAUAUGUUGAAUCUUGAACCAUUCUGGCCCGCUCUCUUUUCUACAUCUUUCUUUCAGAAUUGGACACCCUCUUAUCUCUAGAUAUCGGAGGCAAUGAGAUUCAUCAAACAGAGACACUCUCUCCAAAUCCUUACAAUUCUCAAUAGAUAAGUCCUUAAGAGAUGGAAGCUUUGCUAUUGACAGGACAAGAGUCUUCAUACCUCCGAAAUUAUGUAUAACUAAUUGAGUCAAGGCAGGGAAGGUGGAGAACUGAAGCUGCUCAAAGAGCGCUAUUGACUUUACAUUUUCCAACCCUCGCAGAAAAAGCACAACUAGGUUAGGGAAUGAAUCUAAUGAAGAAGGGAAUGGCCACGGAAAUUCAUCCCAGAAGGGACCUAACCGUAAGUGUGUAAGUGUGGAACUCUGAAUUUGGGCGGAUAUUCCAUCUACAAGAGAGGAGGGGACCCUCACUAGUGCGAGAUGUUUUAGACCAGCUGAUCCUUCAACUAUAUUAACACUUGCUAGAUUCGGGCAGUCAAAGAGUAGUAAUGAGGUCAAAGACAGAGAAUUAUUUUUUAAUAGCACUUUGAGUAUUGAUUCCAAGUUGGAGCAAGAAGAAGAUGAUGAUAAAUGCCCUCCUCCGUCGCUGAUUUUCCGCAGGUGUAAAGUGGUGAGUGAGCUAAGAUGCAUAUACAUAGUUUCCAGUAUCAUGUUGCUCUCCGAAUUUGUGAUACUCAAAUCUUUCAAGGACGGAAAACAGCUAUUCAGGAUCUUUCUCAACCUUGGACAAUCUGAGAUUUCCAACUUCUCAAGUUUAGGAAAUACAGUUUGGUCUUUACUGAAAAUGUCUUCCACCCAUUCUUCUAGCUUUGGCAAUUUCCGCAAAAUCAGUUUUGUCACUGACGGAUACAUUGCUGCUGUGUCUGGUUUUUGGGCCAGAUUUAGGCCUCCACAUAAAUUAUUUCCUAUAACCUUGACAUUUUCCAUCUUCUCUAUACAUAUCUUUCUCAGUUUAGGAAGGUGACCCAGUGGAGGAAAUCCUUCGCACCUGCUGCAAUCUGUCAUGGCGAUUUUCACCAUGUUGGUCAUCAUUGGGAUCCAUGACGCAAAUUUCUUUCCCAUAAAGUCUUCAAUUUCCAAUGCUUUGAGAUUUGGGUGGGGUUCCAAUCCUUCCAACACACCCUCAUCAGUGUAUUCUCCGUCUUCCCUUUCAUCUUCAUUGCUCCUCCAGUUCAACAGUAAAUGUCGAAUAUUGGACUUUUCACAAAGCUUUGCUUUACGUGCUUCUUCAAUAUUCUCCACCUCAUUAAGGCCAUAGAGUUUAAGCGUACCUCUAAGAUUUUUUAACAUUCCAAGUUGUCCAACGAGACAGUUUUGAUUUUUCUUCACAACAAAAUAAGGCAGCGUUUGCAAACAAGUUAACCUUUCAAUCCCAACAAACAUGUAUCUUGUUUUAGUAUUGCCAAUAACAAGAUGUCUCAAGUUUACAAGUUGGCAGAUGUUUUCCGGAAGCUCAUGAAGCGAUGAAAUUCUAAGAGUCUGUAAGUUGUAGAGCCUUGUAACUUGGUUUGGCAGUUUAUAGCUGAUAUUUGAAUAUGCAAUCCUAGAGACAUCUAAAUGCUUAAGGCAUUUCAAAUUCCCAAUUAAACCAGGCAGCUCCUCACAAAAUGAAUUUAAAACCAAAACUCUCAAGUACUUGAGUUUGGGUAGCACACAGUAAAAUAUAGUGGCCUCUGCAUAUAGUGCUUGUAUUGUAUCAAAGCGUAGCUUAAACAUACUUGGUUUUACAUCUUUGAAUCCUUCCAGCCUUAAAUAUGUAGCCUUUGAUCCCUUGUUAACAUCAUGACUUGGAUUUGCAGUAAUAGAAUAAUUACUUGACACCUCAAGUGCAAGAUCAUGCACAAGAUCAUGCAUCUUGCAGUUGGUAAUAUAUCCAUAUUUAUCCUUUUCCACAUCUUGUAACAAAGAAUUCCCCAACAGAAUGUCAAAGUACUCAUUUCCAGUGUCUUCCAUCAAGACAGUGCCAUCCCCCGGAAGGAAUCCUAAUGCCAUCCAUAUUUGUAUCAAUUUAUCUUUAUAAAUAUAAUGAUCCUUUGGCAUAAUGGAACAAUAUGCAAAACAUCGCUUCAAAGAAGAGCAAGGUAGAUUGUCAUAUGACAGCCUUAAGGAAGACAGUACACCUCUUGAUUUCCAUAUUUCACUGUUUUGGAUUAGCAACCACUCUUCUUCAGUCUUCUUUGAGUACAAUAAACUCCCUAGUGUUUUAAUUGCGAGAGGAAGACCGCCACAUCUUUCUACCAUUGUUUUACCCAAGGCAAUAAAUGCCUCUGUGUCUAAAACUCCUCUNCAAGGCAGGGAAGGUGGAGAACUGAAGCUGCUCAAAGAGCGCUAUUGACUUUACAUUUUCCAACCCUCGCAGAAAAAGCACAACUAGGUUAGGGAAUGAAUCUAAUGAAGAAGGGAAUGGCCACGGAAAUUCAUCCCAGAAGGGACCUAACCGUAAGUGUGUAAGUGUGGAACUCUGAAUUUGGGCGGAUAUUCCAUCUACAAGAGAGGAGGGGACCCUCACUAGUGCGAGAUGUUUUAGACCAGCUGAUCCUUCAACUAUAUUAACACUUGCUAGAUUCGGGCAGUCAAAGAGUAGUAAUGAGGUCAAAGACAGAGAAUUAUUUUUUAAUAGCACUUUGAGUAUUGAUUCCAAGUUGGAGCAAGAAGAAGAUGAUGAUAAAUGCCCUCCUCCGUCGCUGAUUUUCCGCAGGUGUAAAGUGGUGAGUGAGCUAAGAUGCAUAUACAUAGUUUCCAGUAUCAUGUUGCUCUCCGAAUUUGUGAUACUCAAAUCUUUCAAGGACGGAAAACAGCUAUUCAGGAUCUUUCUCAACCUUGGACAAUCUGAGAUUUCCAACUUCUCAAGUUUAGGAAAUACAGUUUGGUCUUUACUGAAAAUGUCUUCCACCCAUUCUUCUAGCUUUGGCAAUUUCCGCAAAAUCAGUUUUGUCACUGACGGAUACAUUGCUGCUGUGUCUGGUUUUUGGGCCAGAUUUAGGCCUCCACAUAAAUUAUUUCCUAUAACCUUGACAUUUUCCAUCUUCUCUAUACAUAUCUUUCUCAGUUUAGGAAGGUGACCCAGUGGAGGAAAUCCUUCGCACCUGCUGCAAUCUGUCAUGGCGAUUUUCACCAUGUUGGUCAUCAUUGGGAUCCAUGACGCAAAUUUCUUUCCCAUAAAGUCUUCAAUUUCCAAUGCUUUGAGAUUUGGGUGGGGUUCCAAUCCUUCCAACACACCCUCAUCAGUGUAUUCUCCGUCUUCCCUUUCAUCUUCAUUGCUCCUCCAGUUCAACAGUAAAUGUCGAAUAUUGGACUUUUCACAAAGCUUUGCUUUACGUGCUUCUUCAAUAUUCUCCACCUCAUUAAGGCCAUAGAGUUUAAGCGUACCUCUAAGAUUUUUUAACAUUCCAAGUUGUCCAACGAGACAGUUUUGAUUUUUCUUCACAACAAAAUAAGGCAGCGUUUGCAAACAAGUUAACCUUUCAAUCCCAACAAACAUGUAUCUUGUUUUAGUAUUGCCAAUAACAAGAUGUCUCAAGUUUACAAGUUGGCAGAUGUUUUCCGGAAGCUCAUGAAGCGAUGAAAUUCUAAGAGUCUGUAAGUUGUAGAGCCUUGUAACUUGGUUUGGCAGUUUAUAGCUGAUAUUUGAAUAUGCAAUCCUAGAGACAUCUAAAUGCUUAAGGCAUUUCAAAUUCCCAAUUAAACCAGGCAGCUCCUCACAAAAUGAAUUUAAAACCAAAACUCUCAAGUACUUGAGUUUGGGUAGCACACAGUAAAAUAUAGUGGCCUCUGCAUAUAGUGCUUGUAUUGUAUCAAAGCGUAGCUUAAACAUACUUGGUUUUACAUCUUUGAAUCCUUCCAGCCUUAAAUAUGUAGCCUUUGAUCCCUUGUUAACAUCAUGACUUGGAUUUGCAGUAAUAGAAUAAUUACUUGACACCUCAAGUGCAAGAUCAUGCACAAGAUCAUGCAUCUUGCAGUUGGUAAUAUAUCCAUAUUUAUCCUUUUCCACAUCUUGUAACAAAGAAUUCCCCAACAGAAUGUCAAAGUACUCAUUUCCAGUGUCUUCCAUCAAGACAGUGCCAUCCCCCGGAAGGAAUCCUAAUGCCAUCCAUAUUUGUAUCAAUUUAUCUUUAUAAAUAUAAUGAUCCUUUGGCAUAAUGGAACAAUAUGCAAAACAUCGCUUCAAAGAAGAGCAAGGUAGAUUGUCAUAUGACAGCCUUAAGGAAGACAGUACACCUCUUGAUUUCCAUAUUUCACUGUUUUGGAUUAGCAACCACUCUUCUUCAGUCUUCUUUGAGUACAAUAAACUCCCUAGUGUUUUAAUUGCGAGAGGAAGACCGCCACAUCUUUCUACCAUUGUUUUACCCAAGGCAAUAAAUGCCUCUGUGUCUAAAACUCCUCUAUUCAAAAAUGCUCUUUGCUUAAACAAUUCCCAACUAUCUUCCUCUGUUAGUUUUUUCACCAGAUAAGGAUCAGAACACUGCGUAGCAUCAACCACUUCCUGCUUCCGAGUGGUGACAAAAAUUUUGCUGCCUCUCGCACCCCCAACUCCAAGCAAAGAAUUCCUCAACUUGUCCCACUCUUCUGGAUUCUCAUUCCAAACAUCAUCUAGCACAAGUAAAAACUUUUCGCCCUUCAGCUUUUUUUGAAGAUUUUUGAUCAGACCUUCUGGAUUAUCCAACACAGAAGGGCUUGAAGUGAGUGACACCACCAUUUGAUUUAAAAUCUUAAUGAAAUCAAAAUCAUCUGAUACAGUGACCCACAUCCUCUUGGGAAACAUGUUGAUCACAGCAUCUCUAUUGUAAACUAUGCGGGCAAGAGUUGUUUUGCCUUGACCACCCAUCCCGAGUAUUGCAUUCACCUGUAAACCCUCAUCAUUUUGGUUGCACAACAUGUUAACUAGAAAUGAUAUAUCAUCAUCUCUUCCGACAAUCAGCGACUCGUCUUCAAAGGGUUGGGUGUAGCGUAUCUCUCUGUGUUGUACAGUAGAUCUCAAAUGCUCUACUGGCUUAAGUCCAAUAACAGUAGCCCAUUUACAGAUCUUGUCAAAGGAAGUAUUAAUAUUCUUGAUCUUAUGAGCCACUUUGAAACGAUAUAAUAAGGAGUUUUUAGAAGGAGUGAAGAAGUCUUUUACCCUGUGACGAUUCUCAACUUUUCUUCGAGAAACUUCAUACUCGAGUUCAUCCAUAAAAGCUUCAGCCACCUGAGCCACUUCUUCAAGUUUGUUGAACCAAAUUUUGGCACUAGACAUGAUUAAAUUCUUGUUUUGAGCGUCAUGCAAGAGAGCACCGAACGAUUCAAAUCUCUGACGCAGUGUCUUCAAAUCUUCGUCAAGUUUCCAGAUCUGAAUCACUUCAUCAGUUGCAAGUGAAAUUAGCUUUCGGACCAGUCCAGCAGAAAGAUCAUCUACAAUUGCUUCAGCCAUUGCUCUCAAUCUUUCUUGUUUCUUCAGCGAGAUGUGCAAGUGGUGAUGGUUGUAAGGACAAUUGCUUGAGAUGGUUGUAAGAUCAUCUUAUUGAUUGCUCCGUCCGGUUUAUAUAUUUGCAGAAUUGCAGAUUUACGGGCAUUGUAAAAGCAGCCCGCCGUUUUCCGGGGUUAUAAAUAAAAAACGUACGCUUUGCCUAAAGUGUUUUAAAUUUCGAUUUUAUAAAUGAUAAUAUGACAAGUUCAAAUUUAAUUCCCGAUUUUAUAAGUGACACAAGUUGAAACUUAAUUUUGUUUGUGACUUAUUUUAUUUUAGAAAAUUUGAUUUUACAAAUAUAUAAAUAAUCAUUCUAAAAUAUAAUUUAUCAGAUUUUAUUAUUAUAUCAAUAAUUUUAUACUCGAUAAGUUGUUGAAUCAAAAUAUUUAUAAAAAAUAAAUAACUUAAAAGUUAUUUUGCACUUAUAUAAAUGAUAUACCUUAAUAAGUAACUAGCUUUAUAGCCCGUGCGUGGCACGGGCAUGCUCUAAACAUUUCUAUAUUUAAGUUUAUGCGGUGUUUUUGUAUGUUUUGAAAAUGUAAUGCAUAAACAGGCAAGAAAACAUCUAUCAAAGUGGAUUAAAAAAGAUCACCACAAACCAGUUACAUGGAUGAUGCCUCCGAAAGAAAAUAAGCGAAGAACUGAUGAUAUUAUAUAUGUAACACCCCAGUCCCACAUCGAGAAGAGUGAGAAUAUUUGUUCAGUUUAUAAGCAUAAAUAUUACUACUAAUUGCACCAACAAAUCAUGAUCUUUUGUGGGCCUGUGGUGGGCUUGUAAAUUACCCAAGUUGUUGUAGUUGGGCCAGUUUAUUUCGGCUUAUUUUCGGAUUCAGAUUCGGAUUUCGGGACUUGACCUGAUUUUUGAAAAAAACUCGGGAUUUGACCCGGUUGUCACAUAUGGUAUUAGAGCGAGGUUCUCGAAAGCUUGAUUCGUCAAGUUGCCGGAGGUGGGGACACAAAGGCUGGUGGUAUUAUCCUGCAAUGGACAGAGAUCCGAAGGCGGGGACACGAAACCAGCCAGUAUUAUCCCACAAUGGCUAGAGAGGUUCGAUCUGGGCCUAUGGGCUAUCCGUUUCGGCCUGACGAGGACGUCAGGAAUUUAAGUGGGGGAGUUUGUUACACCCCAGUCCCACAUCGAGAAGAGUGGGAAUAUUUGUUCAGUUUAUAAACAUAAGUAUAACUACUAAUUGCACCAACAAAUCAUGAUCUUUUGUGGGCCUGUGGUGGGCUUGUGAAUUACCCAAGUUGUUGCAGUUGAGCUAGUUUAUUUCGGCUUAUUUUCGGAUACGGAUUUCGGGACUUGACCAGAUUUUCGAAAAAGACUCGGGAUUUGACCCGGUUGUCACAAUAUACUAUACUAUGAAAUAAAUUUAUUGACAAUUAAACUCCAGCUACACUAAAUCAAAUCAGCAUGAUCAGAACCCUUAACAUUGAUGCAUAUGAAAAUUCAUGGAACAGCAACCCAUUAUUGUAAUUAUGUGUGCAUAGUCUUUUUGACAAAAUAACUUGUUUAAUCUAUUAAUACAUAUGAUAACUACUUUAUAUAAAUUCUUUACUAAUCAUAACAUAUAACUACAGUUGCUUAACUACAUCAUAUCAAUUCUUUACUAACCAUAAAAUAUAACUCGAAAUGCCUUUAACUAUUAUAUAUUGGUUCAUUCUUUGGUUUCAGUGCAUUAACUUAAUGAAUUAGAUAAAUUCUUUAGUAAUCAUAACAUAUCACUUUUUGCCUAACUACAUUAGAUCAAUUGUUUACUAAUCAUAAAUAUAAUUCGAGUUGACUUAAUCGUAACUAAAUCAAAUUAGCAUGAUUAGAACUUUUAACAUUCAUGCAUGAAACCCUUAACAUUCAUGCAUAUGCAAAUUCAUAAAACAAUUAGUCAUUAUUGUAAUAUUAUGUGUGCAUAGUCUUUUUGACAAGAUACAGUAACUUAAUCUAUUAAAGAAUACGAUAACUACAUUAGAUAAAUUCUUUACUAAUCAUAACACAUAACUCGAGUUGUUUAACUCAUUAGAUCAAUUCUUUAUAAAUCAUAACAUAUAACUCGAGUUGUCUUUAACUACAGUAUAUUGGUUCACUCUUUGUUCUGAGUGCAUUAGUUUGAUGAAUUAUAUAAAUCUAAUUAAUCAUAACAUAUAACUCGAGUUGCCUAAAAUCAAUUCUUUACUAAUCAUAACCUACAACUUGAGUUGCCUCACCGUAUAUUGGUUCACUCUUUGCUUUGAGUGCACUAACUUGGUGAAUUCCUCGCAAAGAAUAUUUUUAUUUUGAAUAUGUAGUUAUUCGUAAUUAAUAAUGUAUAAUGAUUGAUGAAAUGAAUGAUAUUUUUGAGUAUUUUACAAAUAUUCUAAAGACACAUUCAUUCAAAAGUAUUAUUUUAUAAUAAUGUAUUAGAUAUUAUUAUUAUUAAAUAUUAUUCAUGUAUUUAUUAGUAAUUAUCAAUGUAUAAUAAUUGAUAAAAUGAUCUAAUGAUAACUGAAUUACUAUUGUUAGUAUUUGUUAGAUAUUAUUAAGGAGGAUAUAAUAAUUAGAUAUAAUUAAUAACAUAUAUUAAAUAUGUUGUUAUUAGUAGUUAAUCAUGUAUAAUGAUUGAUGAGAUGAUCUGAUAAUAAUUAAAUUACUCUCUCUGUUUUUUUUAUUCGACGCUUUAACUUUGAGCACACACUUUUAUGUUCUUUGACCAGAUAGUUAGAAAUAUUAUUUUUUUAAAUUUUCUUUCUCUGAAUAAAAAUAUAUAACUAAAACUUUUAUUCACCAAAAAAAUAAAUUAAAAAUAAUAACUUUUACUAUCCGGUCAACUCGUCUAAAGAAGUGUGCCUAAAGUCAACACGUCAAAUAGAAAAACCAGAGGGAUCAUUAGUAUUUGCUACAUACUCCCCCCGUCCCCCCCGACGGUAUAUACAUUGAGGGACGCGGCCGAACUUUAAUGCUCCUGCAAAGUGUAGUUGUGUAAAUUUUUUUUAUAAAUUUUCUUUUUCUGAAUUAAAAUUUGGAAUAUAAUUAAUAACAUAUAUUAAAUAUGUAGUAUAGCAGUUAAUAAUGUAUAAUGAUUGAUGAGAUGAUCUAAUGAUAAAAAAAUUACUCCCUCUGUUUUUUUAUUUGACGCUUUGACUUUGGGCACACUUUUAAGUGCUUUGACCCGGUAGUUAGAAAUAUUUUUUUUAAGUUUCUUUCUUUGAAUAAAAAUAUAUAACUAAAACUUUUAGGGUCGCGCUCAAGAGAGAACCAGUCCUUAAAAUAGAACCAUAGAACCACUGAGGUUCUGCUGCGGAACCCUAAAUUUUAAAUAGAUUUUUAGUAUCUAAAUCCAAAUACAUAUUUUUUUCAUAUUUUUUCAUCGUUGUGUGUGUUCUGAAAUAAUUUUAAAAUACAAUACAUAGAUAUUGACAUUUUUUGCAUGUGAAGUUCGGCUGCAGAACCCUAACUAAUACUUAAGUUCUGCUCCAGAACCCUACCUAAUACUACAAAUAAGGUAAGGGUUCUAUGAGUUCUCUAUCUAAUGGUUCUCUCUUGAACAUGACCCAAAACUUUUAUUCACAAAAAAAUAACUUAAAAAUAAUAAUUUUCACUACCCGGUCAAUCAUCUAAAGAAAAGUAAAAAAAAACAAACAGAGUGAUUAUUAGUAUUUGCGAGAUACUCCAUCCGUCCCCCUAGAUAGUACACACUGAGGGACGCGGACGCGUAGUUGCGUAAUUUUAUUGAGGAAAAAAAUCCUAAAAAAUAAGUUACGAAACUAUAUUUAAUAAGAACAUUGAAAUGUGUGUCAAGCAGUUGAAAAUAAACGUAUAGAAUUAAAUGGGACACUGGGUGUAUUAAUUAAGACAUAGUAAUUAGAUAUAAUCAAUGACAGAUAUUAGAUAUGUAGUUAUUAGUAAUUAAUAAUGUGUAAUAAAUUAAAUGAAAUAAUUAUUAGUGUAGAUAUUAAUGAGGAUAUUAAUGAUUAAAUUGGCUCACCAAAACCCAUGUUGUAGUAUUAUAUAUAUAAUUAGCACUGUAGCCCGUGCGAGGCACGGGCAUGUUCUCAUAUGCGUGAUGAAUAUUGUUAUUCUUGUUAUUGUUCGACAGUGUCAAAAAUAAAGAGUUUAAAUUUUAGAUCCUUGUUAUUGCAGUGUAGUGUAAACAUAUCUUUUAUUAUUAGAGUGCGAUAAUUGUUAGUUGUCCUUAAAAUAAUGUAAGCAAAGUGUCACAAUGAUAUUCCUGCAUCAGUGAAGUAUAACGUUGAUAUUCAAUUGGUUGUAGUGUAUCUUCCUCAUUCACCUUCAUUAUAUUAUAAUUUUUUUAAAUUUUUUUUGACUAUUUCGACCAUAAUUCACCUAAGAAUUUAAUUAAACUUAUAAUAUAUUGUCUCACUAUCUGUGGAAUAUCACACUAAUACUCCUCGACACAUGAAGUAUCACCCUGAUAGGUAACUGGUUGUGACGUAUCAUCAUGAUAAUUCUCUUAUAAUAAAAAAUUUGUAGAUAUUUAGGGUCCUCCUUAGCAAAGUAACACCUUUAUAUUCAACUGGUUGUGGCAUAUCAUCCUGAUAAUACUCUGAUAUUAGAGUAUGUAGUGGGUAGUUAAGGCCCCUUCUAAUUGAAUAUUUAUAUUUUGAUUAAAUAUAGUUGAAAAUUGAUUAUUUCAACCGGAAAUUUGCCAAAAACUUUAACCAAGUUUAUAAAUAUGUUGCUCCACUCAUAGUGGGAAAUACACUGAUACUCCUCUACCUGUGGAGUAUCACCUGAUACUUAACAGGUUACGAUAUAUUAUCAUGUUAAUCCUCUUACAAUCAAAGCUUUUGUCGAUAUUUAGAACAUUCUUUACUGAAUAUACUUGUUUUGGUUAAAUAUUGUUGAGUCACGGGCAUGUUGGGUAUUUAGGGCCUGAACUUACUGAAUAUUCAUAUUUUGGUUAAAUAUUGUUGAAAAUUGGGUAGUUUGGCUGGGCAUUUACAGAAGAAUUAAAUUAAGGUUUUUUUAUAAAUAUAUAAGUUUCACUCCGAGUGGAAUAUCACACUGAUACUCCUCUAUCAUCGGAGUAUCAUCCCAAUACUCAAUUAAUUAGACGUAUCACCAUGAUAAUACUCUUACAGUCAAAUAUUUUGCGCAUAUUUAGGACUUCUUUACUUAAUAUUCAUAAUUUAGUUAAAUAUUGUUGAGACACGGUCACACGGGAAUGUUCUCAUACGCGUGAUGGAUGUUGAUAUCUUGACGUUGUCCAAGUGUUAGGUUUGAAUUCUUGUUAUUGCAAGGUGAUGCAUUAACCAUUAUUAUGAAUUAGAUAUAGUCGUCCUUAUAAUAAUGCGAGUAAGGCAUCACACUGAUAUUCUUUUAUAAGUGGAAUAUCAUAUUGAUAUUUGGCUCGCUGUCCGUAUCAACACGAUAAUACUCUUGCAAUCAAAUAUUUUGCGAAUAUUUAGGACUUCUCUACUAAUUAUUCAUAAUUUGGUUAAAUAUUGUUGAGACACGGUCACACGGGAAUGUUCUCAUGCGCGUGCAUGUUGUUAUCUUGAUGUUGUCCAAGUGUUAGGUUUGAGAUCUUGUUAUUGCAGGGUGAUGCAUUAACCACUAAUAUGAAUUAGAUAUAGUUGUCCUUAUAAUAAUGCGAGCAAGGUAUCACACUGAUAUUCUUUUUCAAGUGGAGUAUCAUCAUAUUGAUAUUUAACUGGCUGUCGUGUAUAUGCUGCAAAACUCCGAAUGAAAUAUCACAUGAUAUUCAAUUGAUUGUGACGUAUCCUCAUAAUAAUCUUUUUACGGUAAAAUAUUUUAAAGGUAUUUAGGGCCCACAAAUAAUUUUAAUAAGCAUUCAUCCAAGAACUUAAUUAACGUAUUAUUGUUAAAAAUUAUGCAAAAUUAGAUUUUUUAACUUUAAAUUAGUUAGUGUGAUACAUGCUUUGACGAUGUAAUUGAUUACCUACCCAUUAAUAAUUAACAUAUUAUUUACAAAUUUAAUUAUGAAUAAAUUAAUAUGUUAGAUAUAAUCACACAUAUUAAUUAUAAAUAUUAAUUUAAUGUAUUAAUAAAGAAGGUAAACACAUCAAUUACAUGUCUAAUAAUGAAUUUAUUAAAGUCUUAGAUAUAAUUACAUGUAUUAAUUACAAGUUAUUAAUUAUAUGUAUCAAUGGAAGAGAUAUUAGUUGCAAGUGUAUUAAUGAAAGAGAGGGUUAAAAGAGUAAUUUACAUGGUGAAUAAAAUGUGGCAUGUUGGUCUAUUAUAUAUAUAAAUAGAUAGAUAGAUAAGCAUUUUUUUUAAAAUUAAAUCAAACGGUCCAAAAAUUUGAUUUGUUCUUAAAUAGUUUGAUUUCCGCACUUCACUGUUUGAGAUAUCAACAACCAUUUUUCUCUCACUUUUUUGAGUAAACUAAAUAUUCAUUUAUUUUAUCGGAGACCGAUCGUAUACUGGAUUUUUUAUAGGUUAGGCUGAUCCGAAUCCGUUAGAGUUGUAAAGUUGUAGAGAUGUAAUCUGGCAAUUUAUAACUCUUGCAUCCGAGAGAAUUUGAGAUAUCGAGAUGUUUAAUGAACUUGACAACUCAUUACAAAAUGACUUAAGAACGAGCACUCUCAGGGUCGUUUGGUUGGAGAGGAGGUAUGAGGUUGGAAUGAGGAAUCGGGUUAUCAGGUGUUUGGUUGAGUGGUGGAAUGAAUAUGGUUGAAUUAUAAUAUUUAUGAGUUAUUAACUGUAAUUAAUUUAAAAUAUCAUGAAAUUAAUAUUUGUAUACAUUUUUAAGUCAUUAAUUUCAUUUUGUGUUAAAAAUUUACAAGAAAUAAUAUAAAUAAUAAUGAAAAUAAAAGAAAAAAAAUUGAUUCCUGAAACGCAUAUUUCAUACCCACCUCCCCCUUGUUAUGAAAUUCUCAUACCUUGUGGGUUUGAGGAAUGAGUUUGAUGAAAUAAAAUUCUCAACCAGAUAUGGGUUUGGAAUGAACAAAACUCAUACCUGAUAUCACGGAAGCCUGAACCAAACGACCCCUCAAGUGUUUGAGGUUGGGUAAGAGGACACUGAAAAUACUAGCCUGUGAGUAUAGUGAUUGUACUGUAUAAAAGUAGGCCUUGUAGAUAUUUGGUUUUAAAUCCUCAAACCCCUCCAGCCUUACAUGAAUUGCCUGAGAAAGCUGGUUAGAAUCCUGACUUGGUGUUACGGUUUGGGAGUGAUUAGUUGACACAUCUACAGCAAGAUCAUGCAUUUUGCAACAGGUGAUAUUGCCAUAUUCAUCCGUUUCCACGUCUUGUAACAAAGAAUUCGACAACAAAAUGUUGAAGUAUUCACUGCCUACGUCCUCCAUCAGCAAAUUGGUAUCUCCAGGAGACAAAAGGAAUCCUAAUGCCAUACAUAUAUGUACCAUUUCAUCUUUAUAUAUAAGAGAAUCCUUGGAAAGAACAGAAAAAUAUGCAAAACAUCUUUUCAAAGAUGAAUAUGGUAAAUUGUCAUAUGACAACCUCAAGGAUGAUAAUACCCCUUUUGAUUUCCAUACUUCACUGUUUAAGAUCAACAGCCACUCUUCCUCCGACUUCUUUGAGUACAAUAAACCCCCUAAUGUUUUUAUUGCCAGAGGCAGGCCGCCACACCUUUCCACCAUUCUUCUUCCCAAGUCUACAAAUUCCCUGGUCUCUAAAACUCCUCCAUGUGUAAAUGCUCUUUGCUUGAAUAGUGCCCAACUAUAUUCUUCUGAAAGUUUUUCGACCCUAUAACAAACAGAACAUUGCAUGGCAUCGAUGACUUCCUGGUUACGCGUGGUAACUAGAAUGCUGCUUCCUUUCGCACAACCAACCCCAAGCAAAGAAUUCAUCAAGCUAUCCCACUUAUCUGCUUUCUCAUUCCAUACAUCAUCCAGUACAAGUAAAACCUUUACCCCCUUUAGAUGUUUUUGAAGAUUUUUUUAUCACUGCUUCAGUGUUAUCCAACACUGAAGUGGUUGAAGUAAGCGAUCCUACCAUCUGAUUCAAAAUCUUCAUGAAAUCAAAAUCAUCUGAUAUAGUAACCCAUAUCCUUCUUGAAAAUAUAUUGAUCACAACGUCUUUAUUGUAGACCACACGAGCAAGAGUUGUCUUACCUUGACCCCCCAUCCCUGCUACAGCAACGACCAGUAAAUCCUCAUCAUGAAUUUUGGACAAGACAUGAACUAAAUUUGAUACAUCUUCAUCUCUUCCGACUACUUGUGUCUCGACUUCAAAGGGCGCAGUGUGACGGAUCUCUCUCACUUGUACAGUUGCACUCAAUUGUGCUAUGGGCUGCAGUCCAAGAUCUGCCGCCCAUUUAAAAAUCUUGUCAAAGGAUUUAUGAAUAGUCUUGAUCUUAUUAGCCGCAGAUCUUGUUAUUGCAGGGUGAUGCAUUAACCACUAAUAUGAAUUAGAUAUAGUUGUCCUUAUAAUAAUGCGAGCAAGGUAUCACACUGAUAUUCUUUUUCAAGUGGAGUAUCAUCAUAUUGAUAUUUAACUGGCUGUCGUGUAUAUGCUGCAAAACUCCGAAUGAAAUAUCACAUGAUAUUCAAUUGAUUGUGACGUAUCCUCAUAAUAAUCUUUUUACGGUAAAAUAUUUUAAAGGUAUUUAGGGCCCACAAAUAAUUUUAAUAAGCAUUCAUCCAAGAACUUAAUUAACGUAUUAUUGUUAAAAAUUAUGCAAAAUUAGAUUUUUUAACUUUAAAUUAGUUAGUGUGAUACAUGCUUUGACGAUGUAAUUGAUUACCUACCCAUUAAUAAUUAACAUAUUAUUUACAAAUUUAAUUAUGAAUAAAUUAAUAUGUUAGAUAUAAUCACACAUAUUAAUUAUAAAUAUUAAUUUAAUGUAUUAAUAAAGAAGGUAAACACAUCAAUUACAUGUCUAAUAAUGAAUUUAUUAAAGUCUUAGAUAUAAUUACAUGUAUUAAUUACAAGUUAUUAAUUAUAUGUAUCAAUGGAAGAGAUAUUAGUUGCAAGUGUAUUAAUGAAAGAGAGGGUUAAAAGAGUAAUUUACAUGGUGAAUAAAAUGUGGCAUGUUGGUCUAUUAUAUAUAUAAAUAGAUAGAUAGAUAAGCAUUUUUUUUAAAAUUAAAUCAAACGGUCCAAAAAUUUGAUUUGUUCUUAAAUAGUUUGAUUUCCGCACUUCACUGUUUGAGAUAUCAACAACCAUUUUUCUCUCACUUUUUUGAGUAAACUAAAUAUUCAUUUAUUUUAUCGGAGACCGAUCGUAUACUGGAUUUUUUAUAGGUUAGGCUGAUCCGAAUCCGUUAGAGUUGUAAAGUUGUAGAGAUGUAAUCUGGCAAUUUAUAACUCUUGCAUCCGAGAGAAUUUGAGAUAUCGAGAUGUUUAAUGAACUUGACAACUCAUUACAAAAUGACUUAAGAACGAGCACUCUCAGGGUCGUUUGGUUGGAGAGGAGGUAUGAGGUUGGAAUGAGGAAUCGGGUUAUCAGGUGUUUGGUUGAGUGGUGGAAUGAAUAUGGUUGAAUUAUAAUAUUUAUGAGUUAUUAACUGUAAUUAAUUUAAAAUAUCAUGAAAUUAAUAUUUGUAUACAUUUUUAAGUCAUUAAUUUCAUUUUGUGUUAAAAAUUUACAAGAAAUAAUAUAAAUAAUAAUGAAAAUAAAAGAAAAAAAAUUGAUUCCUGAAACGCAUAUUUCAUACCCACCUCCCCCUUGUUAUGAAAUUCUCAUACCUUGUGGGUUUGAGGAAUGAGUUUGAUGAAAUAAAAUUCUCAACCAGAUAUGGGUUUGGAAUGAACAAAACUCAUACCUGAUAUCACGGAAGCCUGAACCAAACGACCCCUCAAGUGUUUGAGGUUGGGUAAGAGGACACUGAAAAUACUAGCCUGUGAGUAUAGUGAUUGUACUGUAUAAAAGUAGGCCUUGUAGAUAUUUGGUUUUAAAUCCUCAAACCCCUCCAGCCUUACAUGAAUUGCCUGAGAAAGCUGGUUAGAAUCCUGACUUGGUGUUACGGUUUGGGAGUGAUUAGUUGACACAUCUACAGCAAGAUCAUGCAUUUUGCAACAGGUGAUAUUGCCAUAUUCAUCCGUUUCCACGUCUUGUAACAAAGAAUUCGACAACAAAAUGUUGAAGUAUUCACUGCCUACGUCCUCCAUCAGCAAAUUGGUAUCUCCAGGAGACAAAAGGAAUCCUAAUGCCAUACAUAUAUGUACCAUUUCAUCUUUAUAUAUAAGAGAAUCCUUGGAAAGAACAGAAAAAUAUGCAAAACAUCUUUUCAAAGAUGAAUAUGGUAAAUUGUCAUAUGACAACCUCAAGGAUGAUAAUACCCCUUUUGAUUUCCAUACUUCACUGUUUAAGAUCAACAGCCACUCUUCCUCCGACUUCUUUGAGUACAAUAAACCCCCUAAUGUUUUUAUUGCCAGAGGCAGGCCGCCACACCUUUCCACCAUUCUUCUUCCCAAGUCUACAAAUUCCCUGGUCUCUAAAACUCCUCCAUGUGUAAAUGCUCUUUGCUUGAAUAGUGCCCAACUAUAUUCUUCUGAAAGUUUUUCGACCCUAUAACAAACAGAACAUUGCAUGGCAUCGAUGACUUCCUGGUUACGCGUGGUAACUAGAAUGCUGCUUCCUUUCGCACAACCAACCCCAAGCAAAGAAUUCAUCAAGCUAUCCCACUUAUCUGCUUUCUCAUUCCAUACAUCAUCCAGUACAAGUAAAACCUUUACCCCCUUUAGAUGUUUUUGAAGAUUUUUUUAUCACUGCUUCAGUGUUAUCCAACACUGAAGUGGUUGAAGUAAGCGAUCCUACCAUCUGAUUCAAAAUCUUCAUGAAAUCAAAAUCAUCUGAUAUAGUAACCCAUAUCCUUCUUGAAAAUAUAUUGAUCACAACGUCUUUAUUGUAGACCACACGAGCAAGAGUUGUCUUACCUUGACCCCCCAUCCCUGCUACAGCAACGACCAGUAAAUCCUCAUCAUGAAUUUUGGACAAGACAUGAACUAAAUUUGAUACAUCUUCAUCUCUUCCGACUACUUGUGUCUCGACUUCAAAGGGCGCAGUGUGACGGAUCUCUCUCACUUGUACAGUUGCACUCAAUUGUGCUAUGGGCUGCAGUCCAAGAUCUGCCGCCCAUUUAAAAAUCUUGUCAAAGGAUUUAUGAAUAGUCUUGAUCUUAUUAGCCGCCUUAAAACGAUUUAAUAUGUUGUUUUUAGAAGGAACAAAGAAGUCCCUUACCCUGUGAUGACUUUCCACCUUUUGUCGAGUAACUUCAUAAGCAAGUUGAUCCAUAAAAACAUCAGCGACAUGUGCCACAGCUUUGAGUUUGCUGAACCAGGUUUGGACAGAAAACAUAUCUAGUUUCUUGGUACAAGUAUCGGACAGGAGAGCAAAGCUGAGAGAAAACCAUCCAGCUUUGUGGAUGGUGACUUGAAUAGAAAUUUAUCAAGUGAGUAAAGCUGAGGGGAAAAGAAAGCCAAUUCAGCUAAAAGUCAAUAGCCUCCUAGAAGAUGGCAUCUUUAUUUUUUACAUGUCAGGUGAACCCUGGUUGGGAUCAUGAUUGACUAAAUUUAUAUUUAAAUUCAUUUAUGUUAUCGAAUUCAAAUUAGAUUAAUACUGAUUACCGGCCGAUCCGAAUCGGUCGGAGACGGGGAUCUCGAACUCCACUCUGUAUGAUUUAUUUUAUUUUAAAGAAAAUUGAUUUGUUACAAAGUUAUAAAAGACCAUUUAUCAUUUACAAUUGAACAAAAUUUAAACCAAAAAAUAUUUAAAAAGAAAAAAAUAAAUGUAAAUCGACGGUCAAUAUUGAUUUUGGAGCAAGUCUAUCGUCCUAAUAUAAAAAAAUGCUUGAUACCGAGACGACAAAAAACUUUGUCUCUCUUAUUUUUAUCUUUGUCGAAAAAGUACUUACUACAUUAUUACAUCUUUGAAGAAAGCAUUUGUAUCAGAAGUAUUCUUGACAUUUUCCAAUUCUAUUGUAGCAUCAUCUUGUUCUUUGUUGUAAACAAAAAAGUUUGCAGCCAGAAGAAAAAACAAGAGGUUAAUAAAGCUCAAAACAGCAUAAAAUGCGUAGAAAUAGUCCAAGUGAGACACAUUCAAGUUGUCCAAAAUCCAGCCCUUGUGACCAUCCCUCUUAGUGAAAUCAGACACAACUGUUAGAAUAAAACUGCUUAGAAAAUUCCCAAUACUCAAGCUAGUUGUAUAAUAGGCUGUGCCGAAGCUUUUCAUACUUUUUGGAGCUUGAUCAUAGAAGAAUUCAAGUCUCCCCACUUCCCAAAAUGUGUCAGCAACCCCCAUCAGAGCAUACUGAGGAAGUAAUAUGAAAAUGCUGAGCGGAACAAUUUGAUUUUUCUUUGUAAUGCCAUGAUCUUUAAUGACGUUUAAUCGCUUCCUUUCACAAACUGAAGCAAUGAUCAUGAUGAUGACAUGCAUUACUAGGCCUAUUCCCAUUCUUUGCAGCAUUGGGAUCCCUCUUGGAUUUUUGGUGUAGCUUCGAAGUGUGGGAACCAGGAAUUUAUCAUAGAUCACAACAGUGAUCAACAUAAAGAUUGUUAUGAAUGCUACAAGAGAUGCCGGGGGAAUGCUGAAAUGAGGACCUAUGCUUCUAACAAGAGUGGUGCCUUGCUUGAUGAAGAGUGUAUGUCCUUGAGCUAUCAGUGUGCUAGGUAAGAAUGAUACUAAUAAGAUUGGCGCCAUUUUUACCAUUUGUUUUGUUUCUUCAACUUCAGUCACUGUGCAUUGCAUCCAAUGAGGGCUCAUUCCAUCCACAACAGCCGCUUUAUCUAGUAUUCUGUGUAGAAGAAAAUGAUAUGUAAAAGUCAUACUCAGUGCACAAGACACCCGUAUCAAUAAGUAAAAAUGGAAACAGAGGACCAUAAACCUCUUCUUGGAGGGAUAAGAAAUCAGACCUCAAUAAAGGAGAGUGCUCAAUUCUAUACUUUCCAGGUUUGGAAUAUUCAUCCAAAUUCAACUCAUGUAGUUCUUUUGGAUCAUCCGGGACAACCAACUUCCAUUUUCUAAUAGUGGCUAUAAGAACUCUAGCCAUCUUGGUCAAUGGGCUCCCAGAUGCAGGUUGGUGCCUAUAAUAAGGCGAGCCUGCUAGAAAGACCAAUAUUGAUAAAAAGAGUCCGAUUGUUGGAAGACCAUAUCCAAGUCCCCAGCCUGCAUGAUCUUGUAUGUAGACCAGGAAGGUGCUGGCAAAAAGUGUGCCAAAGAAGAUACUAAAGACCCACCAAUUAAAGAAUGAUAUCUUCUGGGUUUUCUCUGUUGGCUCAAAUUCAUCAAACUGAUCUGCACCCAUUGUUGAGAUGUUGGGCUUUGUCCCUCCAGUUCCGAGUGCAAUUAUGUACAAUGCACAGUAGAAAAUACCCACUUGAAAAGGUGAAGCUUGCUUGUUACAGUCCACGUCUGUUAUACUGUCACCGCAUGAUGGUGGCCGGAGAGAUUUUAAUGAAACUACUAGUGUCAGCAAGGACAUGCCCUGUUGCACAACAAAUAUCUGAGCCCAAGCAAAGCAAUCAAAACAUAUAGUCAAGAUCACAGAUAUAUGUGAAACUCGCGAACAAUUUUAUGUUUUCAUACCCCAAGAUAGAUGAAGGCUGAAACGAUGAAAGUCCAGUAACGGCCAAGAUGAGCAUCCGCGAUGUAGGCACCUAGAAUGGGUGUCAGCCAGACAGUGCCAACCCAGUUGGUGACAUUGUUUGAAGACUUCACGGUGCCUUCAUGUAAUUUUCUUGUGAGAUACAGCACUAGAUUUGUUGAUAUUCCAUAAAAUGCCAUCCUCUCAAAUGCUUCAUACCCUUCAAAAUCAUUCAUUAUACGGAAUAAAUUAGAAAAUCAAACCAAAACUUAUUUUCUUCACCUUAAUACAAAAUAGUACAUGAGUUGAAUGUGGUAAAUGUUCCAUUGGAUGAUAUCAGAAUUAUCAAAAGAAGCAAUAGAAUCUUGUUGACAUACCUACAAUGAAGGAGGUUGCUCUCCAUCUCCCUGUGUUUGAUCUUAACACAGGAUUACCCUUGAGGUCAACUGUUCCAUCUUCGGUGUACUCAUCAUCCCCUCUCGUCUUGCCAUUUUCUUCGACUACUCUUUCCAUUGUCAUUGUCAUCUCCCUGUGUUUGAUCUGAACACAGUUCAACGUGCAGCUCGAGUUUAUACUAGACAACCUCUGUCUACCUGCAUAUACAGUUAGCUACAAAUGAAAUGGUGGAUAAUAAUUAAAUCACUAACAGACUAAGACUGAAGUCAGUUUUUAUAUCUGAAAUUCAACCCUUUUCUUAUCUAAAAUAUUCAUGCUGGUAAAAGAACAAAUACAAGUGUCCAAGUAAAUGAAUAUAGACGCCACUUCUUAGUUUUUUCUAGUAAUAUACAAAUGCAGCUGCUAAUAUUUUAGUUAGCAUCAAAAUGUUCAAGUAUGAAGAAUAUCUGGGGCAAGACGGCUACCAACGUUAAUUUGCCGACUGAUCCCCGCAUAAGUGACAAAUAUUCAUGUCUAUAUAGGUAACAAUUUGAAAGCUUAGUAGCCGACCUCAUCAUAGGAUCAGUAAGUACAUCGCUCACUUGUCUUCUUCUUCUUCUCUCUUUUUUUUUUGCCGACUUGUUAAUGGAACUUAUCAGUUAUUAGUACAUCGCUCACUUAUUUAUCUUUUUUCGCUAAGCAGCUCAAUAUUUAUUGAACUUCUAUUUAUCUUUUUUCGCUAAGCAGCUCAAUAUUUAUUUUACCUCUAUUCUGCUUCCUCUCCGUUCACUCAUUAAGCCUUAAAGUAAUUUGUGAAACAACUACCACCGAUAAACUAAUACUCCCUCCGUCCCAAUUCUUUUGUCCUGUUUGACGUUUUGUGGACAAAUAGACUCAAUUUUGACUGAAAUUUACAUAUAUUAAAUAAUUGAAAAAAAUUAUAAAAAAUAUAUUAUUAGAAUCUACAUUUAUUCUACUUUAAGAUGUAUUUUUCAAUUACUAGAAAUCAUAUAAGGAUAAUUAUUCAUUAACGAUCAAAGUUGGGUCAAUUUGACCACAAAAAAUCAAACAAGACAAAAGAAGUUGGUAGGACGGAUUUUGUAGAGUUUGUUUUUGUCAUUAUAGUGUUACCACCCGUAUUUUCUUACAAUUUUGUAAAUGACAGGUUUUUGAAUUAAAUCUUGUAUUAGUAUGAAUUUGAUUAAUAAUAUUAAUAUGAACUCUUUAUUUAUUUGAAUUCUAAAACAUGACAAAUUUUUAUAAACUUGUUUUAUAAAUUAAAUUGUUUGAGUUUUAAAAACUAAAAACAAAUUAACAAUUCUAUUGAAGGUACAUGUGACAUUACAUAAAAAUUCUAAUAAAAUAAUUGUACUUCUUAAAUAAAAAAUAUAUAAGUUUCGGUGCUGGUGAAAAGGGCCGCACUCCUGCAGUAUCUUUGGAUCAUAAAGGAUGCUCUUCAGAAGUCCACAUCUCAUCAUCCCUGAUUUAAAAAUUUUAAAAAUUUCAGUGAAGCAGUAAAAAUGGAGACAGAGAUAAGUUAGUACUAACAGAGAGUGAUAAGUUUACCAUCUGAUAAUCGGAAUAUGUUGAAUCUUGAACCAUUCUGGCCCACUCUCUUUCCUGUAUCUUUCUUUCAGAAUUGGACACUCACUUAUGCGUAGAAAUCGGAGGCAAUGAGAUUCAUCAAACAGAGACACUCUCUCCAAAUCCUUACAAUUCUGAAUAGAUAAGUCCGCAAGAGAUGGAAGCUUCGCUAUUGACAGGACAAGAUCUUUCAUACCUCCGAAAUCACAUAUAAAUAACUCGGUCAACGCAGGGAAGGUGGAGAGCUGAAGCUGCUCAAAGAGCGCUAUUGACUUUACCAUUUCCGUCCCUCGCAGAGACAGCCAAACUAGGUUAGGGAAUGAAUGUAAUGAAGAAGAGAAUGGCCAUGGAAAUUCAUCCGAGAAGGGACCUAAGCUUAAUUCUCUAAGUGUGGAACUCUGAAUUUGGGUGGAGAUUCCAUCUAGAAGAGAGGAGGGGAGCCCGCUUAAGUAGAGAGAUCUUAGACCAGCUGAUCCUUCAACUAAAUUAAUACUUACUAGAUUCGGGCAAUCAUAUACAGACAAGAUCUUAAGAGAGACACCAAGGGUGAGAUGCUGUAAACCCUUGCAGUCAACUAGGUCUAAUGAGGUCAAAGACAGAGAAUUAUUUUUCAAUAGCACUUUGAGUAUUGAUUCCAAGUUUGAACAAGAAGAAGAAGAUGAUGAUGAUGAUGAUGAUGAUGAUGAUGAUGAAUCUCCUCCUCCGUCCCUGAUAUUCUGCAGUUUUAAAGUGGUGAGUGAGCUAACAUGCAUAUACAUACUUUCUAGUAUUCUCUCCGAAUUUGUAAUACUCAAAUCUUUCAAGGACGGAAAACAGCUAUUCAGGAUCUUUCUCAACUUUGGACAAUCUGAGAUUUCCAACUCCUCAAGUUUAGGGAAUACAAUUUGGUCUUUACCCCCUUUACUCAAAACGUCUUCCACCCAUUCUUCUAGCUUUGGCAAUCUCCUCAAAGUGAGUGUUGUCACUGACGGAUACAUUACUGAUGUGACUGCUUUUUGGGCCGGACUUAGGCCUACACAUAAAUCAUUUCCGAUGACCUUGACAUUUUCCAUCUUCUUUAUACAUAUCUCUCUCAGUUUAGGAAGGUGACCCAGUUGUGGAAAUCCUUCGCACCUGCUGCAAUCUGUCACGGCGAUUCUCACCAUGUUGGUCAUCUUUGAUAUCCAUGACGCAAAUUUUUUUCCCAUAAAGUCUUCAAUUUCCAAUACUUUCAGAUUCAGGUGAGGUUCCAAUCCCUCCAACACAGCCUCAUCAUUGUAUUCUCCUUCCUCCCUUUCAUCUUCAUUGUUCCUCCACUUCAACAGUAAAUGUCGAACAUUGGACUUUUCACAGAGCUUUGCUUUACGUGCAUCUUCAAUAUUCUCCACCUCAUUAAGGCCAUAGAGUUUAAGCGAACCUCUAAGAUUUUUUAACAUUCCUAGUUGUCCAACGAGACAGUUUUGAUUUUUCUUCACAACGAAAUGAGGCAGUGUUUGCAAAGAAGUUAACCUCUCAAUCCCAACAAACAUGUAUCUUGUUUUAGUAUAGGCGCCAAUAACAAGAUGUCUCAAGUUUACAAGUUGGCAGAUGUUUUCCGGAAGCUCAUGAGCCAAUGAAAUUCUUAGAGUCUGUAAGUUGUAGAGUCUUGUAACGUGAUUUGGCAGUUUAUAGCUAGUAUUUGAAUAUGCAGUCCUAGAGAUAUCUAAAUGCUUAAGGCAUUUCAAAUUCCCAAUUAAACCAGGCACCUCAUUACAAAAUGAAUUUAAAACCAAAACUCUCAAGUACUUGAGUUUGGGUAACACACAGUUAAAUAUAGUGGCCUCUGCAUAUAGUGCUUGUACUGUAUCAAAGCGUAGCUUAAACAUACUUGGUUUCACAUCUUUGAAUCCUUCCAGCCUUACAUAUGCAGCCUUUGAUCCCUUGUUAACAUCAUGACUUUGAUUUACAGUAGUAGAAUAAUUACUUGACACCUCUAGUGCAAGAUCAUGCACAAGAUCAUGCAUCUUGCACUUGGUAAUAUAUCCGUAUUGAUCCUUUUCCUUUUCUACAUCUUGAAACAAAGAAUUUCCCAACAGAAUUUCAAAGUACUCGUUUCCAAUGUCUUCCAUCAAAACAGUGCUAUCCCCAGGUAGGAAUCCUAAUGCCAUCCAUAUUUGUAUCAAUUCAUCUUUAUAAAUGUCAUGAUCCUUUGGCAUAAUGGAACAAUAUGCAAAACAUCGCUUCAAAGAAGAGUAGGGUAGAUUGUCAUAUGACAGUCUCAAGGAAGACAGUACACCUUUUGAUUUCCAUAUUUCACUGUUCUUGAUUAGCAACCACUCAUCUUCAGUCUUCUUCGAGUACAAUAAACUCCCUAGUGUUUUAAUUGCCAGAGGAAGACCGCCACAUCUUUCGACCAUUGUUUUACCCAAGGCCACAAAUGCCUCAGUCUCUAAAACUCCUCCAUUCAAAAAUGCUCUUUGCUUAAACAAUUCCCAACUAUCUUCCUCUGUUAAUUUUUUGAUCAGAUAGGGAUCAGAACACCGCAUAGCAUCAAUCACUUCCUGCUUACGAGUGGUAACAAAAAUUUUGCUGCCUCUUGCACCCCCAACUCCAAGCAAAGAAUUCCUCAACUUGUCCCACUCUUCUGGUUUCUCAUUCCACACAUCAUCUAGCACAAGUAAAAACUUUUCGCCCUUCAGCUUUUCUUGAAGAUUUUUAAUCAGACCUUCCGCAUUAUCCAACACAGAAGGGCUGGAAGUGAGUGACACUACCAUUUGAUUCAAAAUCAUCAUGAAAUCAAAAUCAUCUGAUACAGUGACCCACAUCCUCUUGGGAAACAUCUUGAUCACAGCAUCUCUAUUGUAAACCAUGCGGGCAAGAGUUGUUUUGCCUUGACCACCCAUCCCGAGUAUUGCCUUCACCUGUAAACCCUCAUCAUUUGGGUUGCACAACAGGUUAACUAGAAAUGAUAUAUCAUCAUCUCUUCCGACAAUCAAUGACUCGUCUUCAAAGGGUUGGGUGUAGCGUAUCUCUCUGUGUUGCACAGUAGAUCUCAAAUGCUCUACUGGCUUAAGUCCAAUAUCAGUUGCCCAUUUACAAAUCUUGUCAAAGGAAGCAUUAAUAUUCUUGAUCUUAUGAGCGACUUUGGAACGAUAUAAUAAGGUGUUCUUAGAAGGAACAAAGAAGUCUCUUACCUUAUGACGAUUCUCCACUUUUCUUCGGGUAACUUCAUACUCGAGUUCAUCCAUAAAAGCUUCAGCUACCUGAGCCACAUCUUCAAGUUUGUUGAACCAAAUUUUGGCACUAGACAUGAUUAUAUUCUUGGUUUGAGCAUCGUGCAGGAGAGCACCGAUUAAUUCAUAUCUCUGACGCAGUGUCUCCAAAUCUUCGUGAAGUUUCCAGACCUGAAUCACUUGAUUAGUUGCGAGUGAAACUAGCUUUCGGAUCAGUCCAGCAGCAAGAUCUCCUACAAUUGCAUCAGCCAUUGUUCUAAAUCUUUCUGGUUUCUUUAGAAUGUUAUCUUUAGCGAGAUGUGUUUGUGGUGAUGGUUGUAAGCACAAUUGGUUGAGAUAUAUUGGAGUCUUCGUCAACUUUGUGGUGCAAAGGUCACAGACAAUAAAGGUGCAUCCACAUGGAUGGGGUCACAAAGAUGCUUGCUGAGAAUCAUGGAUGGGGUCAUCUUAUUGUUUGCUUGCUGAGAGUUGGACAAGAAAUUUGGAAUAAUUUUUUUUUCAAAAGUGACAUGUAGGGACGGAAGGAGUAUUUUGAAUUCUGUAAAGUUUGUGUUGAGUAUCGAAUAUGAGUUGCUGAACAAUUGCCACAUACUUGGAAUUAUAGUAUACAUUUGUGUUGUUUGUUUAGCAGAAGUUCAAUAGUUUGCAGACAUUUAUAGACAUUGCAACAUCUUAUUGCCAUAGUUAUAUGAUAGGGUACCUUAACUUGCGAAUGUAUGCUAUGAGCGGCUUCUUGUUGGAAUUUAAUCGUAGCAUGUUUAUUUUGUUUGAAUAAUAGUCAGCUUCAUGAUCUGUAGGGGUUAUGACUUAGUCAAAUGAGCAUUUAAGUUUGUUAGGUGGGUUUGUAGGUGAUUAAGUUGCAUGUUCAACGUCUAGAAAUAGCAGUAGUUUUUCAUUCUGUAAGUCACGAAGUUCAGAAAUAUACAAUCUGUUUUUCCCUUGCAUUAUUUUGUAUAUCUAUUCUGGUUUCAUCACUUCUUAGACCAACUGAUAGUUAUCAUUACACUCAUUCUUGGAGGAGAUGAACAAUAUUACAUAACACAUGUUGGAACUUGAAUUUCAUUUGAAAUCUUAGACAUUCAAAUAGUAGUAUAAGCUUGAGAAUCUGAAAUGACAACUCAAAUCAUGUCAGUUGAAAUCCAACAUUUCAAAUGAAAUACAUGGUCCCAAACGCUAUCUAAACUUAUUCAGGGGGAGACCGGAGCCUCAAGCAGAAAGUAAUACAAAGAAGUGAAAACUAUCCCGGAUUAACUAGCAAAGCUUUAAUCUCUGGGGAUGUUAUUUGUCGGAUGUUGUGGGAAGUCGGAGAGUUUGUCUCGACAAAUUACAAUGGUUCAGAUUAGAGUAGUAGGAAGAGGAGUGAGGCAGAAUGGUUCAGAUUUUAAUACAUUUUGGAUAGAGACCUUGUGUUUAUUCGAUAUCUAAGGACUGAAAGCAUCAAUUUCUGUAUAAGAUGAUAAACUACGUUUUUGCUGCAUAUAUAUAGUUUGUCGAAUCAGGGAUGCAACGGUGACAGUUGAAUUUUCACUAAACUGUCGCCUAAAAAUCUUAUGAGGUAUAGGAGAACAUCAUAAAAACAUGUCAUUACAUUCCUUUUGAUCCAUUCUUACAGAUAAUAAGAGAACGUAUGUUAAAGUACUCUUACAGAUUAAUUUUAGAAUAUAUUUAGUGCUGAACUUCUCUGCCACUCCCUGGACUAUAUCUCCAUCUUAGUUUAACAAAGAAUAUAUGUAGUUUGCCUGAUUGCCUUCUCAUCCAAGAAUCUGGGAGAGCUUUCAGUGCUUCCAAAUCAAUUCAUGCCCAAUCUGUAUGCGAGGAAUAUGUUGUAUCUUGAACCAUUCUGGCCCGCUCUCCCUCCUGCAUCUUUCUUCUAGAAUAGUACAUUGAAAUAUUUUCAGGUACUGAAGGCUAUGUGAUUCAUGAAACACAGGCAAACUCUUCAAAUUAUUACAAUUCCAAAUACGUAACCGCUCAAAAGAUGGAAGCUUUGCCAGUGAUUCUGGAAGAGACUUCACUCCUUCGAAAUCAUUUAUGUACAACAGAGUCAAUGCAGGGAACGUAGAGGAGAGACGAUCAUCAAGCUCCCCAUCCAGAAGUAUUGACCUUACCUUCUUCCAACCGUACAGGGUCAGUGAGGUCAGUUUAGGAAACGAAAAUACAGAAGAGAAGGAGGGCCAGGGAAAUUCGUUUAGGUCCUCCGAGAAGGGACCUAAUAUCAUUUUUUCAAGUCUUGACCUUGUACUAGGGACAAAUACUAAUUCUGAAAGAGAGGGGCAUCUCCCAAUAAUAAGAUGUUUUAGGCCACCUUCAACUACAUUAAUGCUAGUUAGAUUAAGGCAAUCACUCACUUCUAGUUCCUCAAGAACUAUACCAAUGGUCAGAAAUUUCAAGCCCGGGCAGUUAUCUAGGUUCAGAGUUUUCAGAGACAAAGAAUUGGUUUUCAAGAGCUCCUCAAUUAGAUAGUACACAUUUGAUGAAGAGCCUCCAUUUCUGUCCCUGAUACUCCUCAGUCGUAAAUUCACUAGAGAGCUAAUCUUCCUGCUCAUUGUUUCUAGGAUCUCACUACUGUCCAGAUUUGUGAUAACCAACUCCCUAAGUUUAGAAAAUAAAAACAGGGUAUUCGGAAUCAUUCUCAACUUUGAACAACGCUCAAUUUUCAGUACCUCAAGUUUUGGAAAUACUGGCACCAUAUUUUGGCCUUCAUCGCCAGUAGAGAUAUUUGGUUCCAGCCAUUCUUCUAGGUUUGACAAACCUUGUAGAACGAGUGUUGUUAAUGAUGGAUACAUUGUUGCAACUGUUUUUACAGACCCACUGUCACUCAAACCACUACUAGUGCUAGCUAGACCUCCACAGAAAUCUCUUCCGAUAACUUUGACAUUGUGCAUCCCAAAUAUUAGAAUCUCCCUCAGUUUAGGAAGGUGACUCAAUGGUGGAAAUGCAUCACAAUUGUUGCAAUCUUUCAAUGUGAUUUUCACCAAGUUCAUCAUCAUUGUAAUCCACGAUGCAAAUUUCCGUCCCUUAAAGGAGACAACUGACAAUUCUUUCAAAUAUGUGUGAGGUCUUAAUCCUUCAAUCACAUCCUCGUCGUUGUAUUCUUUGCCUUCCCUUUCAUCUUCGUUGUUGCUCCAGUCUAAGAGUAAACACUGAAUGUUAGAUUUUUCACAAAGCUUUGCUUUACUUGC
rnacentral:lncRNA from 1 species